rnacentral:rRNA from 1 species
UACGGAGGGUGCGAGCGUUGUCCGGAAUCACUGGGCGUAAAGGGCGCGUAGGCGGCGCGGGCAGUCAACGGUGAAAGCUCGGGGCUCAACCCCGAGUCGGCCGUCGAUACUCCCGUGCUCGAGCACUGUAGAGGCAGGUGGAAUUCCGGGUGUAGCGGUGGAAUGCGUAGAGAUCCGGAGGAACACCGACGGCGUAGGCAGCGCCCUAGACGAGACCUGACGCUCAGGCACGAAAGCGUGGGGAGCAAACAGG